UGAUGUUAAGGCAAUUUCGAUUAGAUUUGGUCAGGGGCAGAUAACCCCGCAGGUACCUCAUUAUGUAUUCAUAUAUUCAUUAAUGGCGGAGAGUACCUAAGCCGCGUCUAUCGAUAAAACUGUAUGAAAUCAAAUUACAUACAUGCCUGUUAAUUAAAAACAGGUAUCCAUAUGGUGUAAUUUGUUUACUGAAACACGAAUAUUGUAUGUUUGUGCUUUAAUUAUUAUGGUAAACGGUUGCAAUAGCUGUUUUUUGUGCCAAGAUUGUCGGCUUGUGGACACCGCCUCCUUUUGAUGAUCAACCAAUCAGUAGACGAUCGCCGUCGAACAAAUGUUUGUAGUUUGCAGAAUGGAAAGCACCUUGCAGCGGAAAUUGUUUUCACUUCUACGUGAAAAUCUAGCCAGAAAACUGACCUGUCAAAUAUAAGAAACAGAAUGCUAUUCCAGCUUUGAUGAACUAUAAAGUAAUGGUUUGAAUUUGAAAAGCUUUAUUAUUAGACAGGGAUGAUGACCUGCAGUGAGACAGCAGUAGAAAGUUACAUAUAGCUCAUCAUGACCAUUAUGAAAGAUCAGAUCAGAUGAAAAUUAUGUUUAGAAAGCCACCAAAUAUGUCUAUGAAAAGUAGAAAAAAGACAGCAAUUCUAUGUAAAGUACU